GGAGAAAGGAGCCGAAAAGGUCACCCGGACUCCAUGCGGCUCUUUCAUUUCCUCAAACUUUGGCCCUGGAAGUUUCUCCUGCUUGCACCACUCAUCUAGGGAGUUUCUCAGGGACCCGCUGGUGCUUGCGUCUGGAACAGUGGUAGUCAGUGAACUUCAGCUGAAUGGAGGCCUUGUACUGCUGGGCUUUUAGGGAAUAUGCAGGCUCGCCCUGGCCGGCCAUCUCCAGCAGAGCGGUCACCUGCUCGUCAGCUUCGUCCUGAGCCCCUGGGAUCCCCGAGAGGCCGAAGAGGCGGCUGAGUUUGGUGAGAGCGUCCUGGAAGGCAGUCUGGCGAGCAUUUCCCUCUGAUGAACCUGAGCACGCGGCCAUGAUGGAGAAGAGAUGUUACCAACUAACCAGCUCUUCAACUAUGUUAUAGCAGCAAAGAGCAUAAAUCAAUAGGGACAGCAUCACUUAAUCGGCAAAGAAUAUAGGUUUCACACUUAUAACGUAGUUCUUUUAUCUC